CAAAAUUUCAGAGCCAAUUGAAGGGUUAAAAGAAUGGCUGGAUGCUGUAUCAACUGCUCGUAUCCCUUGCGCUGUUGUGUCAAGUUUUGAUCGCAGAAAUAUGGUUGAAGCCUUAGAGCGCAUGGGACUCAUGAAGUACUUCCAGGCAAUUGUGACGGAGGAGGACGGAAUGGAGUCUAUAGCACAUAGAUUUCUUUCUGCAGCUGUGAAGCUGGACAGGAAGCCAUCAAAGUGUGUGGUAUUUGAAGACGAUCCUAGGGGCAUAACUGCUGCUCACAACUGUACAAUGAUGGCUGUGGCACUUAUUGGUGCUCACCCAGCGUACGAUUUAGGGCAAGCUGACCUAGCUGUAGGUAGCUUCAGUGAGCUUUCUGUGAUAAAUCUCAGGAGAUUAUAUGCACAUAAAGGCUCCAACUUUAUGGACCUAGAGAAGCAAAUAGCGGAAAAAGCACCGCGCAGAAGGAAGCUCACAAUUGACACCAUUUUCUGAACCAGUUUGGUACAACAGUCUACCACCUCCUUUUCCUACUUGUAAAUGCCCUUUUAGUGUUAGAAUCUGUAGGUCUUGCCGUCCUUUGCCUUCUUUCAUUCUUGAGAUAAAUAGAGCUGGCAGAAGAUGAUUUCCCUUGGGGUAAUCUGAAACUCAGGUGUCCUUUUCUUGUCUUCUUUUCUCUCUCUCUUUUGGGGUUUCUGCUUGUUCGUGUUAUCAAGCCGUUAUUCAAACUGAUAUCUACCAGCACUGGUGGUGGAAUUAUGAUCCAUGUCGCAACUAAAUAGUUGCUUUUAG
rnacentral:misc_RNA from 1 species